CAGUUGCCGUCGGGGAGAGGUAGAGUGCGGAGCGUCGGGUUACGAGUUUGUGAUGUUAUAGUGAGAAUAUUAUUAAGAACUUACGAGAUCCGUAUAUCUUUCGUCCGGUAUAGUGGAUUAGUUUGUGUUUAUUCACAAGUUUACGAGAUUGGAAACGCUGCGAUGUCGUCAACUGCUUCAGCUUAGUGGCUUAAGCUAAAGCUGCGCCGUAACAGAAGUGGCUGCAACAUAGCUGUAUAGCUUUGCUCAACAUCAUACGCAAAAUGAGUGUUCUGUGUCAGAGCUGUGAAUACUGUUCCACAGCUCGACGGACGCACUUAGAACCUACUUCUUCAGGUAAUUGUGAAUUGGAGUAACAAGAAGCCGAGCAGACAGUUGGGCCUUACAAAAAUAUUUCCUAGCUGUACGCCAAGUCUUGUAGGCCUCCUGAACAGCCGCCAUCAGCCACCAUUACGUGGCACUCAGAGGCACAGGGCCACACCCAUCUUUGAUGCAACAAUUACACAGCCUUAGCAGGCCCUUUCUACAGGAACAGCUAAGCCCCUUUUUUGUUCUAUAUUGUAGAAGUGGUACUCAUUAUUAAUUAAUCAUUGCCAUAAUAAUAGUAGAUUAGACCACCAUAUGUGGUAUGAUAUAAUUAUAUAAGGUAAACAAUUUCUGGUUUAAGAAGGAGCAAUCUCAAAGUGGUUUAAGUUGCAAAUUGUCCCCCCAAAUUAUGCGAGAUUAUUUGGAGGCCUGGUCGACGACCGGGCCGCGGGGACACUAAGCCCCGGAAGCACCUCAAGGUAGCCUCAAGGUAGGUAGGAGAUAAUUUCAGGCAGUUGAAUCAAGUACAUACAGUUCACUCACUUAAUUACUUACUCACUUGAAAAAUUAUCUUAUUAAAGUCAAUUUAAAAAAGGACAAUAGCUCCCAGGAUUUUCCCACAAAUUUAAAGUGUCCGCUCCUAACCUACCAGAGGACCCAAAAGAGAAAAUGGAUCAGUAUGUCACUUCCAUUUUCUAGUACGACAAUUUUUGGCCUUAGGUAACACAUACGAGCGAAAAGCGACGUUCUGUGCAUGAGGACAGUUUGUCUAUCAAAGUAUGCAACUACUUUGUCUAGCCUCAUAUCUCGGCUUUUAGUCUGUCUCAUAUCUCCUUCAGGAACAUAAUGUACAUAACUCUUCAGAAAUGUUCCCGCGAUAGGAUGCUGGAAUUCGACACGUGAUUUAAGCGAAUACAAAAAGAACAAUUUUCCAUUAAAAAUUAUGAUUCCUGCUUUAAAGCAUCAAAAUCUUCAAUUACCCUCAUAUUUCUUAUGAUUUCCUGUAGAUUUGCUGUAUAUUUAUUUGUCUUUAAAGUUAACAUUCCCACUGAUUAGCUUUAAUGGCUAGACUUAGGGAAUGUGAUAAAUUUUUAGAGUACUGUCGAAGAUAUUUUUAUGAAUUCAUCCUCCAGUGAGGAAUGAGUUCCCUAUCCUUCAGUGAAAGAAGAAUCAGACUUUUCCUUGACAUGUAAGGGUAUUUAAGAUCUGAAAUGUGGUUCACUUGCGUCGAAAUUCCUUAAUGUGUGCAUUCUUGUUCACGCAGUUCCUGCUCAAUUCUGCCUAAUGUGAUCGUUCUUGAAAAGGAUGAAAGGAAAAGGAUGAAUCUUUCCUGUAAAUGAUUCCAUCUCAUUUACAAGAAAGGCACGAGGAUAUUUAUUUAAAUCUUGCAUCAGAAAUCGGCCAUAGGGAACAGUAUUACCGAUUAACAACAUCAUUCUGGCCUCUUUGUGUAUUGCUUGUGGAGGUCAAGGAAUUACAAUUCACACACUA